GACGAACGCUGGCGGCGUGCUUAACACAUGCAAGUCGAACGGAAAGGCCCUGCUUUUGUGGGGUGCUCGAGUGGCGAACGGGUGAGUAACACGUGAGUAACCUGCCCUUGACUUUGGGAUAACUUCAGGAAACUGGGGCUAAUACCGGAUAGGAGCUCCUGCUGCAUGGUGGGGGUUGGAAAGUUUCGGCGGUUGGGGUUGGACUCGCGGCUUAUCAGCUUGUUGGUGGGGUAGUGGCUUACCAAGGCUUUGACGGGUAGCCGGCCUGGGAGGGUGACCGGCCACAUUGGGACUGAGAUACGGCCCAGACUCCUACGGGAGGCAGCAGUGGGGAAUAUUGCACAAUGGGCGGAAGCCUGAUGCAGCAACGCCGCGUGCGGGAUGACGGCCUUCGGGUUGUAAACCGCUUUCGCCUGUGACGAAGCGUGAGUGACGGUAAUGGGUAAAGAAGCACCGGCUAACUACGU
rnacentral:rRNA from 1 species